GCGCUCCUGGGUCGUGGUCUGGUCCAACAUGAGUUAAUAUUACAUUGAACUAGUAAUUACUCUAAACUAACUUACCUUCUGCAUAACAAGCAAUUAUUGUAAAUUAAAACAUAUGUAAAUUAAAUUAGUUAUUAGGAGUUAAGUAGAGUUAAAUGUCUUAUAUAUCAACAAGAUAUUGAUCUAGUGUGUAAGGCCCUACUGGAUGCCCAAGAUUGAGAGUUCGAUUCCUG
rnacentral:lncRNA from 1 species